CAGAGCUGAGGACCAGGACCAGGGCUGCAUCCUCUCUGCCCUGCAGCCGCGCCGGCACCAGCGCCGGUGUUUGCCUGGUGCUUUGGGAUCCUUGACGCAGGGAGCAGCAGGUACCCAGCAUGUUGGGUUUGUAAAUAAGAAUUUUGUGGGAUUUAUGGUCCCCUGAGCCUGCGUGUGUGUAUUCAGCUCCUGCACUGGGUGGAAAGCUCUGCUGGGGGAAAGCACAGUUAUUUCCAUCCCAGGCAUUCCUGGAGGCCCCAGGAAGGAUGCGACCUGGUGCAGGCUCCUUUGCAUUUUACCCCUUUGCUUUUUCCCCUAUUGCAUUUUCUCCCUUUGCAUUUCUUCCCCUUGCAAGCCCAGUAUCAAAGUAGGCAAGCCCGGAAAGGGGAGCUGGUGCAGAGCUGUGUGCCUGGGCUGUAUUCAGGUAGGGAUAUGGCACUAGGAGUCAAAAUGAGUUUCCUGGGUCCUCUGGGCUGGUCCUGCUGAGCAGGGAGCUGGUUCCCCACUGGAGCCAGCUCCUGGCUCUGUCCCAGUUCCCAGUGAAGCCCUAGAGACCCCCACAGCUCAGCUCAUUGGAGAUGAGUUGCUCCGGCAGAAACUUGUUGCAUUUUGGGGACCUUUUCCUGAGGUUUUCUCAUCCUAGGAGCUUGUGAGCUCUGGUCCCACCUCACCACCCCAUGCAACGAGUUGCUGGGCAGGUUUAUGGGGGAGAAAUCUCAGCCUGCCCCUCAACCUCAUCCACUUUCCUACCUCCUCCCUCCAUUUCCCACCUGAGUGCAGCCAAAACGCAGCCCCUGAGCAAGAGAAAGGGCAACAGGGUGGAUUUGCACAUCUGGCAGCCACAUCUGGCAGAGCACACCAUGCCGGGAGCGAACGCUGCUGAGCAUCGUGGGGCGUCCCGGGCUGUGACUCCACUGGAGCAGCAUCAAUUCGUGGGUACAGUGCUGGGAAGUCCUGGUGAGAUUUAACAUCUUGCAGCGAGGAGGAGAAGUGCCUGGAGGGCUUUGCAGGCAGAUGGGUGGUUGUUGGACCAGGGAACGCAGCAUCCGCCUGGCAGCGGCUGCCGGUGCCUGGUGAUAGAUGAUAGGAAGGAAAUUGCCUCCAAGCAGACAGAAAAGUGGCCAAACACAUCCUGGCCCCGAAGCCCUUUGGCAAAGGGGAUGGCUGGCGUGGGCAGCCGGUUGCUCCAGCUUUCCCUGAGGCCAAAGGGAGGGAUGCAGUGGCUUUUGGUCCCCAGGGACGAGGACACUCCUCCUUUCAACACUGAGCAGCAGGAGGUUCGGAGCAUCACUUUCCCCAUCCUCACUGGGUGCACCGAGAUCCCGGGCUGCGUGCUCCAACUCCCUCUGGGGAGGCAAAGCCCCGUCAGCCCAGCAAAGGUGACGUGCGAGCAGUCAGAUGUGGGUGGUUGGGUAGAUAACCAGCUGUAGGAGCAUAAUUCUUGUGGCUUGUUAACGUUUAUAUUAUUCUGCAUGGCGCAUACCCCACGCAUGACAAAUCAGCAGGAUUAGGGAACCUCUGGAUUAGCAAAACCAAGACUUGUCACCAAGCCGAGACUCAAAAUGUGCUUUUUGGGUUCCCAAAGACAGCUGUGCGUUUAGAGAAACCCAGCUGCCAUCACAUUUCUGUGCAGUCCCUCUCCAUGAAGGGCUCGGCGAGGACGAUGCGAACUUCCCAGCACCCCGAGACUUUGGCAGCAAGCUGCCACCCAAAUGGAAAGUUACCCUGACAGCUCCUUGAGCCGAAUGAAAUGCAGGAUAUAAACAGCACCUGUGGUGUGAAUCAAGAAAAGGAUGCUCAGAGCCCUCUGCAGUGGCUCAUCACAGAAAAAGAGGGGAAAAACCCAAAAAUGUCUAUUUAUAUGCCCUGCAUAUGAAAUGCUUAUAAGCUGCCAGUGCUUUCCAACCCGGCAUGGUCUUUCAGAUCUGUUUUUCCUUCCUUAUAUCCCAAAGAGCUCCGCUGUUUCUGGGGCCGAUCCGGCCAAGAGGCAAGCAGUGAGAUUUAGCCGAGGAGGUGGAUGUGGGUGCAGACGGAGUUGGGCCAGGCAACGCUGCCUGCCCUGCCUGCAUCCAUCCUCCCCUGCACACGUCCUUGUGGGUUUGUGCUCGUGUUGCUGGACCAGGGCAUCCCAGGUGUGCUUUAAGAAGCAUUUUUCCUCAAAGUUUGGUGGAAGUUUGUCAGGAUUUGUCAAGUGGAAAUAACUGGGCUGGAGCACCAUCCUCAUCCCUGCUGACCGCAGGGGCUGCGACACCCCGGCACUUGGGCAGGGAAGAAAGUCAGCCACUGGCUGCCUCCCCCUUCCAAAAAUACACAGAAUUAAUAACAAGUAAUUCUGCCCAAGUGUCUUCAACCCUGUGAAGCUUCACCCCAGGCUCCUUCAUCCUCCUCCUCUGUUAGCAGGGAUUAACCCAAACCACCUUUGGAGGAAGGAAGAAACCCUCUGCUUUUCAUUUAUUCCUUUAGGAAGAGCAAGUGGGAGCUGUCAUCCUCGUGCAUUGGGGAAACUGAGGCACAAAGCAAGCAGGGCUAAGUUUCUGAUAGCAGGAAAGGAUUUGAGAGAAAAAAAACACAGAAAUGGAUUUAAAGCCUUGGCGGGGUUCACUUAAAACUCUGGGCAGUUUUGGGACCUCCAAGCCUGGGACAGUGGCCGCUCUAUUUGUCCUUCCUCUGGCUCAGAGGUGACCCCUGCACCUUGCCAAAAAAGUCACGAUUAAAUAGGAUCCCACCUAUUUAUCUGUGAGUGCUUCUCAUUAGCUGUGUUGGGAUAAUACUGGGGGACGGGGGCUCCCGGUGUGGCUGAGCACUGACCCACUCAGGGCAGUGAUGAGCCCUCAGUGGCAGGCAGGGGGCUGGAGGAGACCUGUCCUGGGGGAGAGGGGCUGGGGGGACGCAGCCAGGGUACAGGGUGGCAGGUCAAAGCCCCCAGCAUGAACAGCGGUGUGACCCCCCCCGGGGUGGCAGGGACAGGCAGGAGAGGGACAGGCAGGGCUUGUAUGGGCUGGGACAGACAGAGGUAGGCAGGGCAAGGAACGCUGAGGCAGGGACGGACAGGCACAGGAUGGGCAAGGGACGGGCAGAUCCGGGACCCGGAGAGGCAGGGAUGGGCAGGCAGGGCACCUAGGACUGAUCAGAGCUGGGAUGGAGGGGAGGUAGUUCCCCAGACCCCCAAAAGGGUCUGAACCCCAGUAGCUCGGGCUGCAGCCCCACGACCUCAUGCCCUCCCUGCCACCAGGUCCCCAGCAUGGAGCCACCUCGUCCUCCUUCUCGGGGUGGUUUUCACCUCAUCGCGUGUCUUCAGCCCUGCAGGGAGUUGGCACCGCACAGCCCGGGCAGAUGGGGAAGGACAUGUUUCCACUAAUCUGCCCCAAUCUGGAUUAUUAUUUUUUUUUUUCAAAAUAAACCUGCUUUCCCAGCU